rnacentral:lncRNA from 1 species
UCACUGGGUAUGAAACAUCUAAACCAGCAAAGGACAAUGUCAUGGUCUGUGAACAGAUUCACCAGUGCCUCUUGUCCUGUGGACAUUUCAGUACAGUAACCUGUAUUUUCAUUACCAUUUGCUAGGUAAGAAGAUAACAAGAAAUCAAAAAGAACGAGAAGAGAAGAAGAGACCCAAGCAUCCAGUGAGAAAGAUGACCCAGGUCCGGAAGCAAGAAGUGGCAGGAGCAUUUAUAUGAGAAUAUUCAACUCUGUUAGCCAAAUCUACAUCUGAGGAAGUGACACUAUGUGUUAUGACCAUUGUUGCAUCGAUAGUGAAUGGCAGCAUUUAAGAUGAAUUUCAAA